ACUAUUUUGACAGAUAAAUGUGAUGAUUUUAGAAAUCAUUUAUAUAUAAUUUAUAAAUUAUAUAAAUAGUA
rnacentral:tRNA from 1 species